AUACUUAUGUUCUGUUUAAAUCAGAUAAAUCUGUACUUGAAAAUGGAGAAAAAGCCUAAUAAGAAGGAGGAACUGACACUAGUGAACAAUGUUUUAAAACUUGCCACUAAGUUAUUGAAGGAACUGGACAGUCCAUUUAGGUUAUAUGGGCUUACAAUGAAUCCACUCCUUUAUAAUAUCACCCAAGUUGUCAUCCUGUCUGCUGUCUCUGGUGUCAUCAGUGACCUGCUUGGAUUUAAUCUGAAGCUCUGGAAGAUCAAAUCUUGAUAAUAUGCUAAGAAGAUAACAGUGUUAUAGAAGAGCUCAUUCAUUGACAAAACUGCCUCAAAGCAGCCACUGAAUCUGUAUUUCAGAAGCUACAACCUCUUAAAGGAUGUUGUUUGGAAAACAGAAGUGUUUACAUCUGACUGUCUUGUGCAAUCUUAGUAUUUAUUUCAUCUUCUCGCUAUUUUAUUUUCAUUUUAGUUGACAUUUUUAUUUUCAAAAAUAUUUGUUUAGAUUUGGAAAGGAUCAGAGUUGGGAAGGGCAAAAACUGAGUGUCUGACAACUUGAAAUCCUAGCAACUGAAUACACUGUAUUACUGUAUUUGUUGUUAAAGCUGAAGCCAAUGUUGAACAUUUUUAGUUGCGGUAGUGCUGUAUGGAAGUCAUUUGAGUUUUGAUUAAGUGUGGUAACAUGGCUUAGGAUUUUUUAUUUGCACCGAUCGUUUAUGAGGACAACAGAACAUCAAUUGAUGUUUGGUUGCAAUAAAGAGGACGUGAAACAAAGUACUGACAAUACAGUAUGACAGAUAGCAGAAAUAUUUUAUAUUACUAUUAGAAACAAGCGGGAGUUUUUAAUAUUUUGAAUAAUUCCAGGAUCGAAACUGAUUUAGGCUGCAGUUUAAAUAUCCUGGGAUAGUAAUAAGGUAUUACAUAACAGGUCAACAAGUGCUCUUUGUUAACACUUUUAUUAGAGCAAUAAUUGUAAAUGGUUACCAUACUGUAUAAUAUUUUGAUAAAAAUUAAAUAUUGUAUUUAUUUGAAAUACUGAGCUGUUCUGCGCAGCUCUGACUGUGCAUGCUCAAUAUCUGCACUUUUUAUUGUUACUUUUAAUGAGAAACUUUAUAUAUAUAUACAUAUAAAUGUAUAUUAAUUGGAAUAUAUUAUGGUGAACAAUGGAGCAGUAUAUAUUAUAUGUUAAAGCUAAAUAUUUAAAUAGGCAAAAGACAUACUGGUGGAAGGAAUGCUAUAAAUGACUGAGCGUAAGAUAGAUGCUCUCCUGAUGUACACUAUAGUAUAUGCCAUUCAUACCACAUGGAAGUUUAAGAACAACUAAGUAGCAAACAAGUUCUUCUGGUGGACAACAGAAUGAAUGAAGCCUCAUAUUCUCAUAUUUGUGUCUUCAGAUUAAUCUCCUUUGCCCUACGCCUCCCCAGCAUGGGGUAUUCCCUCAUGCUUUCCAGUGAGCGUGAGCUCCUCUACCUUCUGACACUGCCUCUCACAUGGCCUGCUCAUACUGACUCAUUGUGAAUGUUCACCUCAUACAAUUAAUUUGUAAGUGGAAAUUUUGUUUCAAGUAACUUAUGAAGUAACUUAUGUUAGGAGAAUUAAUGUCACCAGGCUCAAGUGUUCUUGUAUUUUUUGUUUCUAAAAUAAUGGCUUCAUACUGAAAAAUGAUGAGUAAUUAUAAGAGGUGGGGCAUUACACUCUAUCUGCUGAUCUUCAGAACCUUUAAGCAUGUACAGUAAUGCAUCUUAAACUUCUGUGGUAUAAAACUAUUUUUAUAUAUAAAGCAACACAAACAAGCAUUUUGUAUUUUAUUUGCCUCUGUACUAAUGUUUAUUAAUGACCAAAGUGCAUUCUGGUUUUUGAAAGAAUGUAUUACUGGAGCUUUAAGAACAUACUAUCUUUAGUUUCUCAUGUGGAAACUUCGGCUGCAUCUGAUCUGUUUCUUCUUUUUCUGUUGUCUGAUGCUGGGAUUGUUUUAAAAAAAAUUAAGUACAUUUUAUAUACAGGUUUUUCCAAAUUAUGGUACAGACCUACACAGAACUUAAUUUUGCACAAAAUAUGUUUUAAGAAAAAAGCGCAGCAGGAGUUCUCUAGGGGAUAGAAGAUGAAGCUGUUGCUUUUACAGCUUGUCACUAUUUCAAAGCCACUCUUCAAUUUAGAAUGAAAUUAUUUGAAAAAAAAAAUCUUAAACAGGGAAUAUACUGCUUUCAGUACCUUAAGGAAAAAAAAAAGAAGGUGGGAAUGUGUUGCAGUUUCGGUUUAAUGGGAAAUUAGUUUAACCACAUAUACCUCAGCAACUAUCACUGUGCUGGAUUGUUGCACUAACAAUGGUUACUUGGGAAGAGUAAAAUAUGUGUGAAAUGAAAUUAAAAAUAAUAAAAACCUUUUAUUUGCUACCAUUAGAUAUAUUCAUUAUCUUAAAAAUGGGAGAGGUUUAUUGUAUCCCUCAGUAUGGAAAAUCCAGUAUGAAAAUGGAGGCAAGUAGAAAUAUGGCAGAUCUUGCAUGUUAACGGUUACUUUUGCCACAUGUUUUGUAACUGCAAGUGUGAUCAGGCGUGGAAUAAAGCUUUCUAUGGUCGAUGGUGAAAAAGGAGAAAAGAAGUGCAGCAAGCUGUAUCUUUUAGUAAUACCCAGCACAUUUCUGAGUCUGCCUGUUUUGAUUUAAGCCCAUGCUUACGAAUAUGAGUUCUGUUUGAUUUAAAACACUUGGGAGGGAAAUGUUGCUGGCUGUCAAAAUUGAACUUUAUUGUGAGAGCAGAAGCUUUCCAACACGUGUUAGUUAUACAAAGUAAUUUUUUAAUAGGACUGGACAUGCAGAUUCCAAAUAAACAUUUCCAUCUGAAAAAUA